UAACCGAAAUGCUUGACACUCAGGGAAGC
rnacentral:sRNA from 1 species